rnacentral:rRNA from 1 species
GACGAACGCUGGCGGCGUGCCUAAUACAUGCGAGUCGAGCGGACAGAAGGGAGCUUGCUCCCGGAAGUUAGCGGCGGACGGGUGAGUAACACGUGGGCAACCUACCCUGUAGAUCGGGAUAACAUCGAGAAAUCGGUGCUAAUACCGGAUAAUCAUUUGAAGUGCAUGCUUCGAAUGUAAAAGAUGGCUCCGGCUAUCACUACGGGGUGGGCCCGCGGCGCAUUAGCUAGUUGGUAAGGUAAUGGCUUACCAAGGCAACGAUGCGUAGCCGACCUGAGAGGGUGAUCGGCCACACUGGGACUGAGACACGGCCCAGACUCCUACGGGAGGCAGCAGUAGGGAAUCUUCCGCAAUGGACGAAAGUCUGACGGAGCAACGCCGCGUGAGUGAUGAAGGUUUUCGGAUCGUAAAGCUCUGUUGUUAGGGAAGAACAAGUGCCGUUUGAAUAAGGCGGCACCUUGACGGUACCUAACCAGAAAGCCACGGCUAACUACGUGCCAGCCGCCGCGGUAACAC